rnacentral:rRNA from 1 species
AUUGAACGCUGGCGGCAGGCCUAACACAUGCAAGUCGAACGAGUGGCGGACGGGUGAGUAAUGUAUGGGAAACUGCCUGAUGGAGGGGGAUAACUACUGGAAAAGGUAGCUAAUACCGCAUACCAUCAGAUGUGCCCAGAUGGGAUGAGCUAGUUGUUGGGGUAACGGCUAACCAAGGCGACGAUCCCUGGCUGGCUUGGGAGGAUGACCAGCCACACUGGAACGGAGACACGGUCCAGACUCCUACGGGAGGCAGUAGUGGGGAAUAUUGCACAAUGGGUGCAAGCCUGAUGCAGCCAUGCCGCGUGUAUGAAGAAGGCCUUCGGGUUGUAAAGUACUUUCAGCGGGGAGGCGUUACCCGCAGAAGAAGCACCGGCUAACUCCGUGCCAGCAGCCGCGGUAAUAC